CAUGCAAGUCGAACGAGAACCCUAGUGCUUGCAUUGGGGGGAAAGUGGCGAACGGGUGAGUAAUACGUGGAUAAUCCGCCUCUGGGAUGGGGACAACCAUUCGAAAGGAUGGCUAAUACCGAAUAAGAUGGUAAUUAUGCAGAUAAUAGCCAUUAAAGGUGGGGACCUUUGGCCUACCGCCCGGAGAUGAGUCCACGGCCCAUUAGCUUGUUGGUGGGGUAAUGGCCUACCAAGGCAACGAUGGGUAGCCGGCCUGAGAGGGUGUACGGCCACAUUGGGACUGAGAUACGGCCCAAACUCCUACGGGAGGCAGCAGUUAAGAAUAUUGCGCAAUGGGCGAAAGCUUGACGCAGCGACGCCGCGUGGACGAUUAAGGCCUUCGGGUUGUAAAGUCCAAUAAGCAGGGAAGAAUAAGCAACAGGUAAUAUUUUUUGCGAUGACGGUACCUGCCUAAAGCCCCGGCUAACUACGUGCCAGCAGCCGCGGUACUACGUAUGGGGCUAGCGUUGUUCGGAAUUAUUGGGCGUAAAGGGCGUCUAGGCGGGGGAUUAAGUUAGAUGUGAAAUCCAUGGGCUCAACUCGUGAAUUGCAUCUAAAACUGGUUUUCUCGAGUUCGGGAGAGGAGAGCGGAAUCCCGGUGUAGCGGUGAAAUGCGUAGAUAUCGGGAAGAACACCAGUGGCGAAGGCGGCUCUCUGGCCUUGAACUGACGCUGAAGCGCGAAAGCGUGGGGAGCGAACGGGAUUAGAUACCCCGGUAGUCCACGCUGUAAACUUUGUAUACUAGGUGUUAGUGAGUUAAUCACUAGUGCCGCAGCUAACGCAUUAAGUAUACCGACUGGGGAGUACGACCGCAAGGUUUAAACUCAAAGAAAUUGACGGGGGCCCGCACAAGCGGUGGAGCAUGUGGUUUAAUUCGAUGAUACGCGAAAAACCUUACCUGGGCUUGAACUGCAUUUGACAGGUGUAGAGAUACACUCUUCUUCGGACAAGUGUAGAGGUGCUGCAUGGUUGUCGUCAGCUCGUGUCGUGAGA
rnacentral:rRNA from 1 species